AGUAACUGUGUAAAACCGUCGUAAAGGCAUGUCAGUAGCUCAGGAUACUUCAUGGCAUAAACUGGGUUUCGGCAGUCUAAAAUCACACACAUUCUUGAUGUCCAAGCAAAAGUAUGGAGGGCAGAUAGUGGAGUAGGUCAUGUCUCAUCGUAUCUGUGAAACAUAUCUGUGAAACGGGCCAGUGGCGGCAAAGAAACCAGACCGGCCAGGUUGCACGUGAACAUGAAUGUGUCCACAAGUUUACUGGAGUGUCAGUGGUGAGAAGGAACUCAAGGAGCUUAUUGAAGAGGGCAAGCCUGUUGAGAUUUUAGAGGGUGAUGGAUAUAAUAAUAUAGAAAUUCGCGUGAAAAGGAACAUAAACCUUACUCUACAGAAACGUUUUGAUAAAAAUCAUGUCAAAAACAUUUUGAUAAUGAAGAACUCAGACUGUCAGCCCAGGCGGAGUUCUGCAAAAAUCGACCAUGAAAAUCAUGUUUAUAUUGUGUAUAUAAUAAUAAGUUUAAUGUUAUUAAUCACUAUUCAUUAAUGAAGCUAUUUUCCUUAUAACUGGUAUGAUUGAAUGAUUAAAUAUGCCAUAUG